rnacentral:sRNA from 1 species
AGGAUUCAAAGGUGAAAUGUCGGGCAUGCUUGCAUGGCAAGACAUUUUAACUUGGAAGACUCAAAUCAUGAGGAAGUAACGAUUUUGAAAAAAUCUGUGGAUUCCGAAUGAUUGCAGAAUUACGAGAAUUGCGAGAAUUGCGAAGCAAUG